rnacentral:rRNA from 1 species
UACGUAGGGUGCAAGCGUUAAUCGGAAUUACUGGGCGUAAAGCGUGCGCAGGCGGUUAUAUAAGUCAGAGGUGAAAGCCCGGUGCUCAACAUCGGAAUAGCCUUUGAGACUGGGUGGCUAGAAUCCAGGAGAGGUGAGUGGAAUUCCGAGUGUAGCGGUGAAAUGCGUAGAGAUCUGGAGGAAUACCGAUGGCGAAGGCAGCCAUCUGGCCUAAUACUGACACUGAGGUGCGAAAGCAUGGGGAGCAAACAGG